GACGAACGCUGGCGGCGUGCUUAACACAUGCAAGUCGAACGGAAAGGCCCUGCUUUUGUGGGGUGCUCGAGUGGCGAACGGGUGAGUAACACGUGAGUAACCUGCCCUUGACUUUGGGAUAACUUCAGGAAACUGGGGCUAAUACCGGAUAGGAGCUCCUGCUGCAUGGUGGGGGUUGGAAAGUUUCGGCGGUUGGGGAUGGACUCGCGGCUUAUCAGCUUGUUGGUGGGGUAGUGGCUUACCAAGGCUUUGACGGGUAGCCGGCCUGAGAGGGUGACCGGCCACAUAGGGAGAGAGAUACGGCCAAGACGCCGAGGGGGGGCGGCAGUGGGGAAGAGUGGGGAACGGGGGGAGGCCUGAUGCAGCAACGCCGCGUGAGGGAUGACGGCAUUGGGGGUGGAGACCGCAUGAGCCUGUGACGAGGCGGGAGGGAGGGGGAUGGGUAAAGAAGCAGCGGCUAACUACGUA
rnacentral:rRNA from 1 species